rnacentral:rRNA from 1 species
UACGGAGGGGGCUAGCGUUGUUCGGAAUUACUGGGCGUAAAGCGCACGUAGGCGGCUUUGUAAGUUAGAGGUGAAAGCCCGGGGCUCAACCCCGGAAUUGCCUUUAAGACUGCAUCGCUAGAAUUGUGGAGAGGUAAGUGGAAUUCCGAGUGUAGAGGUGAAAUUCGUAGAUAUUCGCAAGAACACCAGUGGCGAAGGCGGCUCACUGGCCCGGUACUGACGCUGAGACGCGAA